rnacentral:tRNA from 1 species
GCCAGUGUGGUGCAGUGGUUUGGGUGUUGGACUAUGACUCUGGAGACCAGGGUUCAAUUCCCUUCUCCAGCA